ACGCGCACUUGUGUAAAAAGCGAGGACGUGAGCGUUCUGGAAACUUUGCUGUUUUCACCGUUAGUGAGGAGCGGUCAAGGAUGCGUAUUAAGAAAAUAACUAGAAGUGGCCGCAUGAUGUACCUCUCACCAAUGAGAUGCCUGUCAAGGGUAUACGUGGGUCUUUUGAGUUGCAGUGCACUAGGCUAGGAUGUUGGCGAAGAGUAGCAUAUGUAUCUUCAAUUUCAACCUAAGCCAAAAAAUAAAAAUAAAUAAGAAGAAGCAUCCCCAAGAGGCAAUGGCAAAUUGAAUAAGCAGGAUCUUAUUCACUGAUUUGAAGAGUUCAUGCAUCGAGCCAGUAGGCGGUACACAUGGGUAAAAACUGGCUGCGGCUAAACAGUUUCAGGGUCAUAUAGCUGUGAGAAUUGCGGUCAUGUACGUGAAGCUUUAUACCUAAGUGUCAGCACAUCAUUAGACAGAAAAGAAAGUUAUAUCACAAGGAAAAGAUUAAGCCCUGGUCACAUCCUGCAUCUUCUUCAGUAAACACUCUGGUUGGAUGACUUGAUGAAAGCCAACAAUCUUUUGAUUUCUCUCUUCACCUAUAUCAGCAGACCCAAAUACAGUUAAUAAAUGGUUAAAGGUUGAUAACCAUCACACCCAUUCCAACAACAUCCAUCCAAAUGGAAGAUGCCUUGAUUGCAACAGUAUCUGGGGAAUAAUGCUACGGGUGACUGAUAAACCCUGUUUUUGAUGAUGUU